rnacentral:rRNA from 1 species
UACGGAGUGUGCAAGCGUUACUCGGAAUCACUGGGCCUAAAGCGCGCGUAGGCGGGUUUUCAAGUCGGUUGUGAAAUCCCUCAGCUCAACUGAGGAACUGCAUCCGAUACUGUCUGUCUUGAGGACGAGAGGGGAAAGUGGAACUUCUGGUGGAGCGGUGAAAUGCGUAGAUAUCAGAAGGAACGCCGGUGGCGAAAGCGACUUUCUGGCUCGUAUCUGACGCUGAGGCGCGAAAGCUUGGGUAGCAAACGGG